AACAUGUAUAUACUUUUGAAAAAUAAACACUUACCGUCUACGAUGAGGACUCGAGAACUUUCGUUCGUCGUCGAUACAACUCGAAUAGCUGGUCGAUGGGGAGCGACUGUUAGUGUGCUCUCCCCGUUCGCUGCUCGAUGCUGCUUCUUGAGCAGAUAACGAUUCGGCAGCUGAUCGACCGAGAACUGACGCCCGACGGGCAGCCUGAAAA
ensembl:ncRNA F25H10.6 ncRNA